UUAUAUUGCAUACGUAAUUUCCAAAUAUUAAUUAGUGACUUGUAUUUAAAACGUUGUGUUUCGUUUUGUUUCAAAGAUAUAAUUAGCUGGUGACAAUUAGAAUCAGUCAGUUUUAUAUCGUCCACCUUGUAUAUUCAAUUUAUCGAUACAAAUACGAUAAUAAACAGCGUAAUUUCAACGUAAAUAAGAUAAAUAAUGUUAUUUGAAAAUAAACGUAAAUUUCGAUAGAGAUACAGAAUAAUGCGGAAUUUCAGAGAUAAUUUCAGGGUGAACAAAGUGAAUGGAAUAAAAUAAUGGACCGAUACAAAUUAGCUGUUGUAAUGGAUGAAGAAGAUGGAAUGAAGCGAAAAGAGCGUAGAAGGAAAAGAGUAAUAUACGAGCACGAUUUCCCUUCGCUGUUUAUUAUCUCGUUCAUUUACACGCGAAUACAUCGCGUGCAAUGAGCCAAUAAUUUUUGGUACACCGCGUACAUUCAUUCAGCAGAUCGAAAUAAAAAUACGAAAUACUGUACGUGCUCGGCUUUGCUUUAUUAUUAUACGUGUCUUGUACAUUGUAUCACGUUUCGCCAUUAUCUGGCCCAUUAUAUGAAUUUUUUAACCGACCGAAGGUAAAUUAUUUUCAAUGUGAUCGACAACUGUUUCGCGUGUCCCUUUUUAUCGCUACAUGCGUUGUGAUUUCUAUAUUCCUUUUAAAAUAAUUAUCAGACGUAUAAAUGAGCAAUUCAAAUAAACCUAAUUAAUUUUCUCACCCUCGUCCGCUCAUGUAUCGUUUACACGUUUUGCUGUUAGAAAUGACAUUCUGUUUGGCGAAGAUCAGUGCAACGUAAUCCCAAUAAAAUAAUCAAUUCGUAAGCGUCAAUAAUGGCAACGAACAAAGCACAUAACCGUGUGGCGGCACUCAACAGCGAAUACCAGCACUCGACACUAACUAGCGACGAACGACGGCAGCGCAGUGGUUAGCGCCUUAGGUUACGAACGUUCGGGACCCGGGUUCUCAAAUCCCGGCGACCGGAGUCCGAUUUUUCUUCCACGCAUCUAAAUUAGAGGAGAAAUAGCAGUACCCCAUCAGCGACAUCUACAAGUAUCACGGACAACACUUACGCCUCAACCGUGUUCUUUACAAAUUCCAACGAUGAAAAGACGCUGAAAAGAACGUGCGAGUGGAUUUGUCGUGUUCUUAGUGAAGAUAUCGUUAUCGUACGAUGUGUGUGCAUUUUGCUUUUAAACGGUUUAACACUAGAACUACCGAUAGUUAACACGAAGCUAUUUUUACCAAAACCAGUGAAAAUGACUGGUCUUUAAAAAAUACCUAAUAAUAGAAUAUUUUUAUAUUUAUUGAUUUAUUACUUUCUUACAGAAGCAAUUCCAUGUUAUAUAGUAUAUUUUUGGUAUUAUUAAUCCAUCUGGGACCAUGUUACCUAAACGAGGGUUGGCACGUUUAUAAAAUUGUAGAAACAGUCAUUUUGACUAGUGUGGUGUUUCUAAUGUUAGUAUUUAGCGAUCUAGCGAUCGAUCCGGAAUUUUCCUGACAACUGAUAUCGUCGUAUUGAAUGAUACACAGUAAAAGUUCGAAAAACGCGUGGCAAGUUGUAGAAAACGAGGAAACUGGUUAAUUGGGGUUCGAUAAACAGAUUGCAGGAUCCUUUUACACUUGGACAAGUACCAGUCAUUUUCACUGGUAUUGUUAUCGUUGCGAACUUGUAAAACUAGUCAAUUUGACUGGUGUGGUAGUUCUUUGUUGGUGUUAACACUUUAACUGCUACGCCGAAAUUACAUGUUUCGCUGAGGGCGCCACGGGAGUAUUUUAAUUAUUCAAAGCAUAUAACUGCAAAAUAAUAAUAAAUUCGUGAUGUAAGACAACAUUCUUCCCCAGUGGACCGUUUAUCUUCUUGGUGGUCACGGGUGACCACCGUAGCGUCUUGGUGACAGUUGAUAGCGACAUAUUAUAACUUCCUUUAUUUCAACAAAUUAUUCGCUUUCGUUAUUUUGUCGUAAACAAAAUGUGCAGGAUAUAUUGUUGAAACGUAUAGAAGAUAUUAGUAAACAGUAUUUGCUCAUUCUAUGUAUAAUAGUAAAAGGUAGGAUCACAAUAGCUAUUAUUUUAUUCUUUGGAUAAAUCUAUCACACCGUUCUGAGUCGAAAAAUCUUUAUUGCACUUUCUUACAUGGACUAGGGAUAAAAAUAAAAGAACAUCUUAAACCUAUCGAUUAAAUCUAUCGAUUGUAUCUAGAACUAUUUUCUAGUUACUAUUUAUUGUAACUAGCGCAUCUGCACAUGGUUGGCGAGCAUGAACUCACGUUGUCAUUUUCAACAUUUUUUAAGUUGAAGCGCUGCGGUCACCAAUGACCAACGUGGCAAUCAAAGUGUUAAAAGCUUCGGUUUGAUCGACGAGCAACGCUUCGGAGGCCCAGAACCAGCCGAGAAUUCGGCACAAACGCGAGAACAGCUCGAAGAGCAGUCCGGGCUAACGCAAGAAACCGUUUCAAACCCUCUGCAUAAGACGAGAAAGAUGCAAAAAGGAGGAAAUGUGGCGUGAAAUUGCUUCUCAUACUAAUCAGAUAUCAUAACGAGUCUUAGAUGGGAAACUACGCAGUAUCACCCGGUGUAUCCAUUUCACGGUGCUUCCUCAGCUGGACGACUUUAUCGAGUGAAAAGAUCAUGGCAUUCUUUCGAAGCGAAAAUUAUU